AGAGGACCCCUAUAUUAUGUUUUGAUGUUGAUUCUAUCCACUGUUGUCUUCUAGCGCGAGUCGCAAAUUGGUGUGGUUUCACUUUCAAUGAUGUGUGGUGGUGAUGGUAUUGCAGAUAUCAUGGGUAGAAGAUUUGGAAUCCAUAAAAUUCCUUACAACAAACAGAAGAGUUGGGCUGGUAGCAUCUCUAUGUUUACAGUUGGUUUCUUAAUCUCAACCGGGAAUGAAUUCAAACGCUAGAGAGCAGGUCGCGGGAACUGGGGAAGUCAGACUGAUGAAAUUGCUAGGU